rnacentral:rRNA from 1 species
UACACCGAAUGCUUGCAUUCACCGUAAGAAGUUGAGUGGCGGACGGGUGAGUAACACGUGGGUAACCUGCCUAAAAGAAGGGGAUAACACUUGGAAACAGGUGCUAAUACCGUAUAUCUCUAAGGAUCGCAUGAUCCUUAGAUGAAAGAUGGUUCUGCUAUCGCUUUUAGAUGGACCCGCGGCGUAUUAACUAGUUGGUGGGGUAACGGCCUACCAAGGUGAUGAUACGUAGCCGAACUGAGAGGUUGAUCGGCCACAUUGGGACUGAGACACGGCCCAAACUCCUACGGGAGGCAGCAGUAGGGAAUCUUCCACAAUGGACGCAAGUCUGAUGGAGCAACGCCGCGUGAGUGAAGAAGGUCUUCGGAUCGUAAAACUCUGUUGUUAGAGAAGAACACGAGUGAGAGUAACUGUUCAUUCGAUGACGGUAUCUAACCAGCAAGUCACGGCUAACUACGUGCCAGCAGCCGCGGUAAUACGUAGGUGGCAAGCGUUGUCCGGAUUUAUUGGGCGUAAAGGGAACGCAGGCGGUCUUUUAAGUCUGAUGUGAAAGCCUUCGGCUUAACCGGAGUAGUGCAUUGGAAACUGGAAGACUUGAGUGCAGAAGAGGAGAGUGGAACUCCAUGUGUA